AUUGAACGCUGGCGGCAGGCUUAACACAUGCAAGUCGAGCGGAGAUGAGGUGCUUGCACCUUAUCUUAGCGGCGGACGGGUGAGUAAUGCUUAGGAAUCUGCCUAUUAGUGGGGGACAACAUUCCGAAAGGAAUGCUAAUACCGCAUACGCCCUACGGGGGAAAGCAGGGGAUCUUCGGACCUUGCGCUAAUAGAUGAGCCUAAGUCGGAUUAGCUAGUGGGUGGGGUAAAGGCCUACCAAGGCGACGAUCUGUAGCGGGUCUGAGAGGAUGAUCCGCCACACUGGGACUGAGACACGGCCCAGACUCCUACGGGAGGCAGCAGUGGGGAAUAUUUGACAAUGGGCGGAAGCCUGAUCCAGCCAUGCCGCGUGUGUGAAGAAGGCCUUUUGGUUGUAAAGCACUUUAAGCGAGGAGGAGGCUACCUGGAUUAAUACUCUAGGAUAGUGGACGUUACUCGCAGAAUAAGCACCGGCUAACUCUGUGCCAGCCGCCGCGGUAAAAC
rnacentral:rRNA from 1 species